ACGCUCGACACCUACGGGAGGCAGCAGUGGGGGAUAUUGCGCAAUGGGGGAAACCCUGACNCAGCAACCGCCCGCCGGUCGGAAGGGAACGGAAAGGGUUUUACGGAUUUGGUAAACUUCUUUUAGUUAGGGACGAAGAAAUGACGGGUACCUAGACGAAGUAAGCUCCGGACUAACUACGUCGCAAGCAGCCGACGGUAAUCUGGAGGCGGGCUGGCAAGGC
rnacentral:rRNA from 1 species